GGUAUGACACCUCACACCUGAAAGUGGGAUGCCUAGCCUCUUCAUGCCAAGGGGGUUGGAUGCCCAAAACCACAUGCCAAAGAGAGGGACUGGUUUCUUCUCUUGGAUGUCUCCUCUCUCUCUCUUUCUCAUCUUAGCAUACAAUCUAAUUAUUAUACUUUGAUGGUUAGAGCUCCUUCCUAUUUAUAGAUAAUUUUUUAUGACCUAAUAGACUAAGAGUCCUAAUUCAAAUCAGCUUUGAAUUAAUCAUUCUCUUAUCUAACAAGAAAUCCUAUUUAAGAUAGGAUAGAUGCCUAAUUAGGCACCCCCAUGCACCCACG
rnacentral:lncRNA from 1 species